AACGUAGGAGACAAACGUUAUCCGGAGUUACUGGGCGUAAAGGGCGUGUAGGUGGUUGCGUAAGUCUGGCGUGAAAUAUCUCGGCUUAACCGAGGCAGGUCGUCGGAUACUGCGUAACUGGAGGACGGUAGAGGCGUGUGGAAUUCCGGGUGUAGUGGUGAAAUGCGUAGAGAUCCGGAGGAACACCAGUGGCGAAGGCGACACGCUGGGCCGUACCUGACACUGAUGCGCGACAGCAUGGGGAGCAACAGG
rnacentral:rRNA from 1 species